rnacentral:miRNA from 1 species
UUGAACUAAUGGUGAUCUCUA